rnacentral:rRNA from 1 species
GUGCCAGCCGCCGCGGUAAGACGAACCGUGCGAACGUUGUUCGGAAUCACUGGGCUUAAAGGGCGCGUAGGCGGGCUGUCAAGUCUGGGGUGAAAUGCCACGGCUCAACCGUGGAACUGCCUCAGAUACUGACGGCCUCGAGGGAGGUAGGGGCGUGCGGAACUGUAGGUGGAGCGGUGAAAUGCGUUGAUAUCUACAGGAACUCCGGUGGCGAAAGCGGCGCGCUGGACCUCUUCUGACGCUGAGGCGCGAAAGCUAGGGGAGCAAACGGGAUUAGAUACCCCGGUAGUCC